UCUCUUCAAGCUCACAUCAACAACAACCUCACUCCACCCUCUAUCAAACUUCCGGUCACGUAAACUCCAACCAAACAACCAUAACAUUCACUUUCAUAACCUCUAAAACGCAUACCUUUGACACAAACACACCGCCAACACACGCACACCUUGCAUCUUUAACACAACAUAAAUCCAUACUCUGCCGCCGCUAUUUCACAAGAACAUCUCAAAACCCACUCAUUCAAAUUACAGAGCAUCAUCUUCAUAACCAUUAACAAAGCUGCCAUUCAUUCACCACCUUCAAGCUUG
rnacentral:lncRNA from 1 species